GUGCAGCCUUUUCUGUCAUGAGCAAUGCAGUAUGAAUGACCCUUCAAAGACUCCCUGAGAGCAUGAUUCAGAAGGGUGCCCUUAGAGGUGGAGGUGAUUCCUGAAUAAGAAGAAAUUGGGGAAGCAUCUGAUCUGUUUGGCUAUUCUGCCAUGACCUGUUGGUCCCAGACCCAGGGUGCUGCUGCCCCACAAGCUCAAGAAAAGGUUGUACACCUCUUCCGGUUUUUCCAACAGAGGGAAGAAGUCAGCAUAGUGAUUCGUGUUGUCCUGGCGGAACAUGUCCCUUCCUCCAGCAACAGCUUCACCUUCCCUUCCUGCCUUGCGGGCAUCUGGGUGGGGGUCCUGCCCCGGAUCCCAGGCAAUCAGUGCAUCACAUCUCUCUGGAUUCUGUCAUUCAGUAAUAGGCAUAUGGCCUAAGUUGGUCCAAUCAGAGUGAAUCUUGGACUUUUUUUUUUUUUUUUUUUUUUUGCUAGGUGCUAGUGGAGAGGUUAAACUGCUGGAGAACUGUAGUUUCCAUCCCAGCACCAAAAGAACAGAGUCCAGAGUUUUCAGGGGCCACCAAGAGGAGCCAGAGAAGGGUGCCAACACAGUCCGUGGCAGGAUGGAGAUAGAGAAAUGGUGCUGCUUGCCUUGUAUGAGCCCUGAAUCCAGCCACAUUUGAAGCCAGCUCCACCCCAGCACCUUUCUGUUUUAAUCCACUGACAGAGGUGAAGUUGGAUCGGUGCAUAUGAAGGUUUUGGGGCCCCUCCUAGAUGCUGCCAACUUUCUUUCCAAAAAGGCUGCCCCAACUUGUUCUUCCCAAUUUGUUUCUCUUCCUGUGUCUCCUCCAGCCUUUUGCCCAUUUAUGCACAGGAGGCUUUAUGGCUUACCUUACAGACUCAUAAGAGGAUGAUAAACCUUAGGCAGUCACUAUUGCUCCAAAUUAGUUGGACUUUUAAUUCUGAUGGUGGUGCCAUUUUCAACAGGUUCUUGUUGUCCCCGGCUCACCCUUCAGCUCUAGGGAACCCCAGGGAUGUCUC
rnacentral:lncRNA from 10 species